AAAAGGGUGUAUCGUUCACUGAAGAAUGCAAGGCAAUACUUCCAAUCUGGACUAGAUGUGGACUCCCACAUACCAAACGAAAGUGUCACUGAUUUGUACUACUUUGACAAGUGCACAGAUAUGCUUCCAUGCUUAUCAAAAAGACUGAAAAUGGAAGGAACAGAAGAGCAAAAAUGUGAGGAAGCAUGCCAGACUUCACGACGAGGGGCAUCGGUAGGGGUUUGGAAGCAGCCACUCUUCGGGGAGGAAAAGGAUGGGCAAGAGGUGCCUUGUUGUGAUGAUGAGGAGGAAGAGGAUGAAGAAGAAGUGCUUUGGAACAAGGGGAGGAUGAAACGCUAUCACUCGACCACUGAGAUCUACCUAGUGAUGGCAUGAAUUGAAAGAUGCGGUUUGAAUAGCAAGAAAGAAUAGACAAUACAAAG